rnacentral:rRNA from 1 species
AGCGAACGCUGGCGGCAUGCUUUACACAUGCAAGUCGGACGGUAACAGGCCGCAAGGUGCUGACGAGUGGCGAACGGGUGAGUAAUGCAUCGGAACGUGCCCAGUCGUGGGGGAUAACGCAGCGAAAGCUGUGCUAAUACCGCAUACGAGCUAUGGAUGAGAGCGGGGGACCGUAAGGCCUUCCGCGAUUGGAGAGGCCGAUGUCAGAUUAGGUAGUUGGUGGGGUAAAGGCCUACCAAGCCAACGAUCUGUAGCUGGUCUGAGAGGACGACCAGCCACACUGGGACUGAGACACGGCCCAGACUCCUACGGGAGGCAGCAGUGGGGAAUUUUGGACAAUGGGCGCAAGCCUGAUCCAGCAAUGCCGCGUGCAGGAAGAAGGCCUUCGGGUUGUAAACUGCUUUUGUACGGAACGAAACGGUCCGGGUUAAUACCCUGGGCUAAUGACGGUACCGUAAGAAUAAGCACCGGCUAACUACGUGCCAGCCGCCGCGGUAAUAC